rnacentral:rRNA from 1 species
AUCGAACGCUGGCGGCAGGCCUAACACAUGCAAGUCGAACGAGUGGCGGACGGGUGAGUAAUGUCUGGGAAACUGCCUGAUGGAGGGGGAUAACUACUGGAAACGGUAGCUAAUACCGCAUACCAUCAGAUGUGCCCAGAUGGGAUUAGCUAGUAGGUGGGGUAACGGCUCACCUAGGCGACGAUCCCUAGCUGGUCUGAGAGGAUGACCGGCCACACGGGAGCGGAGACACGGUCCAGACUCCUGCGGUAUGCAGCAGUGGGGAAUAUUGCACAAUGGGCGCAAGCCUGAUGCAGCCAUGCCGCGUGUAUGGAGAAGGCCUUCGGGUUGUAAAGUACUUUCAGCGGGGAGGCGUUACCCGCAGAAGAAGUACCGGCUAACUCCGUGCCAGCAGCCGCGGUAAUUC